rnacentral:rRNA from 1 species
CCUACGGGGGGCAGCAGUGGGGAAUAUUGGACAAUGGGCGAAAGCCUGAUCCAGCCAUGCCGCGUGUGUGAAGAAGGCCUUCGGGUUGUAAAGCACUUUCAGUGGGGAAGAAAGCCUUGGGGCUAAUACCCUCGAGGAAGGACAUCACCCACAGAAGAAGCACCGGCUAACUCCGUGCCAGCAGCCGCGGUAAUACGGAGGGUGCGAGCGUUAAUCGGAAUUACUGGGCGUAAAGCGCGUGUAGGCGGUCUGAUAAGCCGGUUGUGAAAGCCCCGGGCUCAACCUGGGAACGGCAUCCGGAACUGUCAGGCUAGAGUGCAGGAGAGGAAGGUAGAAUUCCCGGUGUAGCGGUGAAAUGCGUAGAGAUCGGGAGGAAUACCAGUGGCGAAGGCGGCCUUCUGGACUGACACUGACGCUGAGGUGCGAAAGCGUGGGUAGCAAACAGGAUUAGAUACCCGGGUAGUC